GACGAACGCUGGCGGCGCGCCUAACACAUGCAAGUCGAGCGAUGAAAUUUUAACCGAUCUCUUCGGAGAGAAGAUAAAAUGGAUUAGCGGCGGACGGGCGAGUAACACGUGAGAAACCUGCCUUUCACAAGGGGAUAGCCUCGGGAAACCGGGAUUAAUACCCUAUGACACAUUUCCUUCGCAUGGAAGAAAUGUUAAAACUCCGGUGGUGAAAGAUGGUCUCGCGCCUGAUUAGCUAGUUGGUGGGGUAACGGCCCACCAAGGCCAUGAUCAGUAACCGGCCUGAGAGGGUGAACGGUCACAUUGGAACUGAGACACGGUCCAAACUCCUACGGGAGGCAGCAGUGGGGAAUAUUGCACAAUGGAGGAAACUCUGAUGCAGCGACGCCGCGUGAGCGAUGAAGGCUUUCGAGUCGUAAAGCUCUGUCCUAUGGGAAGAUAAUGACGGUACCAUAGGAGGAAGCCCCGGCUAACUACGUG
rnacentral:rRNA from 1 species